AUUGAACGCUGGCGGCAUGCUUUACACAUGCAAGUCGAACGGUAACAGGCCGCAAGGUGCUGACGAGUGGCGAACGGGUGAGUAAUGCAUCGGAACGUGCCCAGUCGUGGGGGAUAACGCAGCGAAAGCUGUGCUAAUACCGCAUACGAUCUAUGGAUGAAAGCGGGGGACCGUAAGGCCUCGCGCGAUUGGAGCGGCCGAUGUCAGAUUAGGUAGUUGGUGGGGUAAAGGCUCACCAAGCCAACGAUCUGUAGCUGGUCUGAGAGGACGACCAGCCAAACUGGGACUGAGAAACGGCCCAGACUCCUACGGGAGGCAGCAGUGGGGAAUUUUGGACAAUGGGCGCAAGCCUGAUCCAGCAAUGCCGCGUGCAGGAAGAAGGCCUUCGGGUUGUAAACUGCUUUUGUACGGAACGAAAAGGUUUGGGUUAAUACCCUGGGCCGAUGACGGUACCGUAAGAAUAAGCACCGGCUAACUACGUGCCAGCAGCCGCAGUAA
rnacentral:rRNA from 1 species